AACGAACGCUGGCGGCAUGCCUAACACAUGCAAGUCGAACGAGACCUUCGGGUCUAGUGGCGCACGGGUGCGUAACGCGUGGGAACCUGCCCUUAGGUUCGGAAUAACUCCCCGAAAGGGGUGCUAAUACCGGAUAAUGUCUUCGGACCAAAGAUUUAUCGCCUUUGGAUGGGCCCGCGUUGGAUUAGCUAGUUGGUAGGGUAAAAGCCUACCAAGGCGACGAUCCAUAGCUGGUCGGAGAGGAUGAUCAGCCACACUGGGACUGCGACACGGCCCAGACUCCUACGGGAGGCAGCAGUGGGGAAUAUUGGACAAUGGGCGAAAGCCUGAUCCAGCAAUGCCGCGUGAGUGAUGAAGGCCUUAGGGUUGUAAAGCUCUUUUACCCGGGAUGAUAAUGACAGUACCGGGAGAAUAAGCUCCGGCUAACUCCGUG
rnacentral:rRNA from 1 species